AAUCAACGCUGGCGGCGUGCCUAACACAUGCAAGUCGAACGAGAAAGUGGAGCAAUCCAUGAGUAAAGUGGCGCACGGGUGAGUAACACGUGACUAACCUACCCUUGAGUGGGGGAUAACCUAGGGAAACCUGGGCUAAUACCGCAUAAUAUCGAGAGAUCAAAGGAGCAAUUCGCUUAAGGAGGGGGUCGCGGCUGAUUAGCUAGUUGGUGGGGUAAUGGCCCACCAAGGCUGUGAUCAGUAUCCGGCCUGAGAGGGCGCACGGACACACUGGAACUGAAACACGGUCCAGACUCCUACGGGAGGCAGCAGUGGGGAAUUUUGCGCAAUGGGGGAAACCCUGACGCAGCAACGCCGCGUGGAGGAUGAAGUCCCUUGGGACGUAAACUCCUUUCGAU
rnacentral:rRNA from 1 species